UUUUUUUUUUUCUGAUCUCCUGGAAGGGACAAAAGAAACCAUCUUGUUCUUUCAACAAUCUCUAAUCUCUAGUGGACGUCUCAUUAGGAUUCAAACGUAGAUGAAGUUCUAACAAUCUUUGAAAAUGCACAAAACAUUGCAACUAUGGUGUGUACAUGAUACCAUUUUCACAAGUAAAUAGGUAUAGGAAGCCCCAUUGACCUUAGACUACAUAAUGGGGAUGAAUCCCAUAAAAUUUCCCACGUCUUGACAAGACCAGAAAGAAUUAAAUGAGCAAAUGUUUCACUGUUUUCAUACCAUUAACAAAAACUGAGUAAGAAAAACAAGGUGUCAUGCCAAGGGCUCAGAAAACUAGCAACAACCUAGCCAUUGGCAGAUCGGUAUGAAAGAAUACUGUAAUACUUCAAGUUUGAGGAGGAUACAGUUCCCAGAGUGCUACAGUAGUGUCUUCUGACGCAGAGGCCAUAAGCUUACAAUCAGAUGAAUAUGAGACAGCAUUACACUGCAACAAUUGCAAAUAUAUAUAAGUAAUACCAAUAAGCUUUUCAAUAGAUUAACAAUUAAAACCAUAGAAAAACAGAUGGGUUGGGGGGAGGAAGAGAGAGAGUCAGACACUCAGAACCAAGUUAAAAAGUUUAGAACCUUCUUCAAGAUAAGGAACUUGGCAUCUUGGUGACAAAUAUAAAAUGAAUCAAAUUUUUUACACUUAAAAUUUUUUUCCUCUUUAAUUUUUUUAUACUUCUUGUUCCAAGUCAGUAAUAUGACUGGAGGCUCAAAUCAAAGCAAUCCUGAAGUUCAUAUAAUUAAUUUUUAAAAAAGAAAAAUGAAUUAGCUAAAAUUGAAAAAAGACCAAAAUUCCUUUUCUUUUGGCAAUUAAGCCUUUUUUUUUUGUUAACAUAGAUGAAGAAAUAAAGCAUUCAGAGUGAUAAAUAAUUCUAAUGAGUGGUAAAGCAUUCAGAGAGAUAAAUAAUUCUAAAGAGUAGUAAAGAACUUUAUUCUUUAACUAGGCUAAGGGAUCAUAAGAUACCGUGGCAUGGUGAUACUUCAAUAUUGCCAAAGCAUUUCCUUUGCGAUAAUUAUAUAUCCUCACUCUGUCAUCAAAGGAAAUAAACAUAUGAAAUAACCAUGAUCCUGCAUAAUUCAAAGUUGGGGGAAAGCUUUUUCUAUAAUUAAAAGGGAAUGUCAUCUAAUUUUGGUUUCCAAAUUUGUUCACAUUUGAAUAAUCCCACAGUUUGUGCUAGAUGAUUACUUUUCACAAUGGAAGUCUUUUCUGUUCUAAAUAUUCAAAUUUAAAAGCUGAAAUGUGUACCAUUAACUAGUCAAAAGCCAAUGGCCACAAUUCUAUCAAUAAGGUCAUAGAAUGUUGAUAAAGAAAAUUCCAAAAAAAAAAAUCCAUAAAAUGAGUAUCAAAGGAAUAAGUAUAUAAGGAGAAACGUGUGCUAAUGUAUAAAAGGAUAAAAUGAACACAUUUGGCUGAAAGGAAAAAUGUAGCACCAACCGAUAAGCUUAGGGAAGCCCUUAAGAUAGGUUUACUACAUACAAUAGUGAGAAGAGUUGUUGCAUUCAAGUAAAUGAAUGAAGAGGAUGAAAAGUAAACAAGUGAUUUAAGUGGAAUUUCAAGUAGGAAUAGAUUCUCUACAUUUCAGAAAGAAUAUGGCUCUAGUAAAGGAUGUGGAGCAAAGAGAUAUAUAGAAACUUCUAGAUGAACCAAACCAAACUGAAAGUUUGGUUGAAUUAAGGUCACCCUUCUUUUUGUUCCAUGUGAGAAUUAUUUUCGUCUUUUUGUUGGCAGUGAACCUUGAAGAUGUGUUGCAAUGGAGCACAUUUGCAUGGUGAAUAAUGGGAAAUAGAAGUGGCUGUACACAUAGGGGAAGAAAAGAAGGCAUUACUUGAUAAGCCCUUUGGAGUUUUAUUCAAGUAUAUAUCUUCUCUUCUUCUCUCUAUCUCUCUUUAAACUGACCUGAGAUGUUAUUCUUUAAGUAUUCAGAACAAUCUCUGCCAGAUUUUGACAUAGGUAACUUUGGAACUUGAGAAAAUUAACAUCUCAUAACCAUUUACCUCCAAAAGCAUCUCAAAAUGAAUUCUUUUAGAAUGCAAAAUAGAUGAAUUUGAACAAAAUCAUUAGUCAGAUAUCAAAACAAAGGAUUUUUCCCAUAAGCAAGGAGAUCGAGUUUAAUAACCUGAAAUCAAACUAAAUAAUAUCCAAGCUUUCUCUACAACAACCACAGCUAUGACGAUAUAUCCAUUAAAUUAAGACUAUAAUUGUUUAUGAACUCUCACAAAACUGCCAAAUAGAAGGUUUACAAACUGGUUAUACUAACCUGUGAUCCCACCCAGCAGUUGCAGCAAUUUUGCCAUCUGCUCGGAUUGAUGUGCCUGAUAUACCAGGCCGUUCCAAGAUAAUCUCUUUCUUGAUCACACAAGAAGCCUAUUGUCACAGUAAAGGUAGGAUGAACUCAAAAUAAUGAUACCUCCAAUAGUGAGCAGAAAUCAGCAACUCAAGCUGCUGCAUUUAAGUAAAUAAUACUAGGGAAGAAAAAAAAUAAUUUCCCUCUCACGUUUACACCAAUAUCAAUGAGCAAGAGGCAUAAACAGCAUAGAGAGAAGGGGAAGGGGAAGGAAGGGAGGCGGGAGAGGGGGGGGCCGCGCCGGCGGCUGGGAAGGGAGGAAUAAGGGAAAGAAAGCCCAUCAUUUUGUUUGAAAGUAGAUCUCACAAACUGCCCACAUUCUGAUAAGCCACACCAAAAUAAGUGAAAAUUAUGACCGGCACACAGCCAUAAAAUCUUGGAGUAAGUUAGCAAAUCAAAAUAAAAUUACACUAGGCAGUUAAAACUAAGUGUUAACAGAAAGGUCACAUAUAAUUGCUAUCCAACUCAUCCUCAACUUCAACAUGCAACUAACUAGCAAAUAAAAUAGGAAUAUACAAAUUAACAAGAGGUGUGAAUUACUGUAGAAAGAUCCAAACUAAAUAAACCAAUUUUAUCAUCAGCUGCCCCAGAGAUACCGCCCUUACACAGCCCAUCAAUGCAUAGGCUAAGAACUGGCUCUGUGUGAAACUUAACGGAAGUUAGAGGAACACCUGGGUUUCGCAUGUCCCACCAAAGCAUAGAACCAUCCUCAUAACUGCCACAUGUGGGAAAAGGAAACAGAAUCACAGCACGCCAGCCAAGACAUAUACGAAUCCUUGUGAUUCUGUUGGUAGAUAUCCUUGAACAGCCAUGCACAUCCCUCUUUUGUCGGUAGAAAUACUUGGUGAGCCACCAAAGCAGCUAUGAGAUAACCGAGAAAUCCUUUCUGCAGUGUUAAGAUCCCAUAUCUCAACCUCAGAAGACUGCUCCCCUGCUAUAGCAACAAACUUUGGUCCAUCAAUACUAUCUUCUGAAAUUAUAUUAAUUUGUUAAUGCUUAUGCUUAGCAUCAAUAAAGACAAGUAAUAACAAAAUCCACCAUAGAGGUGAAGAAAAACAAUUGCAGCAAGGAAAAGGUACUGACAUUGUUUCAUUUUAUAAUGGCAGACGCCUCUACGUAAAAUUUUAAACAUAAGAGUGACACGUAUAACAUUAAAAUUCUGGCCAUUAAAAGUUAAAUUAAGCUAGGAAAGAAAGUUCUCAGUUUAGUUGAUCCAACCCUGAUGAAAUACCUUCUUGUCUUCAAAGAACAAUAUUGUUUCACAGUCAACUCCAUCCAACAGAAAAAACAUUUGAACUAUUUUGUCCCAGAAAUUAACGUUUUAAAGUUUAGACUAGAUUGCAUAUUCUAGGAUGGCAUAAAUGAUAUUUUAACUCAUAGCAAGCACCAUACCGAUCACACCCUAACCCUUUAGCUCAUUUUUCUCAGUUUUCUCAAAUACAAGACUAGCUUUUCUCCCACAUUGUUGAAUAAUAAAUUUAUCACCAAAAUCAUUUUUUUCCAUUCUUUUUAUGUAAUGAGUAAUAUAGUAGUUGGUUAUCAUGAAUAUAGAAUUCAAAGACAAGCAUUUGGCACUAGUACCAUAUUCAUGAGGCUUCACAGACUAGGUUGUUAGCAUUUUCCUUUUAAUUCAACCAUUAAUGACAUAAAAAAUCUCUUUAUUACUGGGAAAAAAAAAUCUCAAAAAAUAACAUUAUUUGCCAUUAAAUAGUGUCUAGUCAAUAAGAAUUAAACUUUGCUAAUUUAGGCCAAAAUUGCAAUGGUUAUUAUCAAGAUAAAUAUAAAUGAGAAAAUAGGAAUUCUCAUGGCAUACCAUUUUAUUCAAAGUAGGAGUCAAUAUUAGC
rnacentral:misc_RNA from 1 species